rnacentral:misc_RNA from 1 species
GUUGGCAUAGUGUACGUAAGGCGCAUGAGUGGUGUUUGGUUUGUUUGGGUUGGUCGGAUCCCUGCUUGUGCAGCGACGUCCACUCUCACAUCCCUUUUCAUUCUUGCUCCAAGAGCAAUAUGCCUUGGACCAAUUCGGUUGCCUGUGUUGUAUACCUACGUUGAUGGAAUUCGCUCGUCCAAUCACCCCUUAUUCACCUUGUGCUGCUUACGCGGUACACGAUGAACCAUGCAGUGUCCUUUGUUGGGCAUUCUUGCCCUGCGUUCGCGCUAUGCAUGAAAUGGCCAACGUCGUGACACUCGAAUUCUCGGAUACGGAACCCUAAGCGGGCAACGGGUCUUUGGCCUUGAUUUGCCCAAACUAAGUUCUUACGAACGACUGUCGUGCUCGUUUUGACCUGAGGAUGCUUUCGGUCCGACUGGCUCAUGCGGUGCAGACGUCGAAGAGGAAUGCUACC